GGGGAUAUGGUUUAGUGGUAUAAUGCUUCCUUAGCAGCUUCAAGUUGCCUUGGUUGGAAGAGGUCCCGAGUUCGAUUCUUGGUGUCUCCA
rnacentral:tRNA from 1 species